AAUUUUUAAGAAGUUUGCAAAUUUUGAGUUAAAAUCAAUGGUUCAUUCAUUAAUUAUCGAGGUUUAAAACUAUUGUAGGAAUUACUUGGGAUUGAUUAGGAUUUGGUUAGGAUUUGGUUUAGGAUUUAGGAUUUGGUAGGAUUUGAUUAAGGUUAGGAUUUGGUGAGGGAUUUGAUUUAGGAUUUAGAAUUUGAUUAGGAUUUGGUUUAGGAUUUGAUUUAGGAUUAAGAUUUGAUUAGGGUUUGUUUAAGAUUUGUUUAGGAUUUAAGAUUUAAUUAGUUUUUGGCCUAAAGUUUGAAUGAAGUCCAAUAGGAUUUUAAGUAGGAUUAAAUUAAUAUUGGAUUGAGAUUUAUUUGAGAUAUAUUUGUGAUAAUUCUAUAUUUUUUUAAGAUUUCUUAUUAUUUCUUUAUAAUUCCUUUUAGGUUUCUUUAAAUUUAAUUAAAGCUUGCUUAGCAUUGUUAAUGCUCUAUUAGAGUUAGGAUUUUGUUGUUACAAUUUUUAUUCUACUUUCCUCAGCUAGGAGCCUAAAGUAUUCUCAAGCAAGACUUCAUGUAUUACAACACCAUGCGGCUG
rnacentral:lncRNA from 1 species